GGAACAGAAGAGCAAAGCCCAGCCGGGAGUGGGACUGGACCGGACAACGGGGUGCUGGAAUCCAGGUCCUAGAUCCUGCAGCGCCCCUGGGCACUCUCCGGACGUCGCCAGCCAUCGAUCCUGGAGACAGGACGAGGCUGACCAACCGUAUUUGUCUGGGCGCCACCGCUCAGCCUCAAAAAGAAACCCGGGGUCGCAGCGGGAACAGGGAUUGGCGCGAUCCCCGCGGGGGUGGUCCUCCCCAGACCCACCUGGGGGCUCUCAGAGCGCAGGGACGGAGGGUAGCCCGGGUCCCGGCCCUCUCGGGGGUCAUGUUUGGCCUCCGUCGGCCGUCUUGCCAACCGCAAGGCCGCGCUCUGGAUGGACGUGUUCCGCCUCCGCCGGCUCCAUGACCCCCUCCCCGCGCCGCAGGAGCGGAACUGCCGGAUGCUCCCCAACCGGGUCCCGCAACUGUGGUUGCAAGGGAGCUAGACCGCGGACGCAAGAAGACCCCGGUUGGUAGCUUUUCGCCUUUCCCGUCUGUUACGUUUCUUUUCUAGCCUGCCUGGAGAUGUUGACCUCUGGGUGAGCGGACGUUGACGCCGGCUGCUUCCCAUUGUCCCUAAGCAGCCCCUGGACUCUCCAGGCACCACCGCCCUGGCGCGGCCCUGGUGACGCUGUAUGGAGACCGAGAUGCGCCCUCUGCUUAAAGGCGGCUGCAUGGAGGAGGGCUCCUGGGGUGUCAGGGGAGGGCCUAGUUUAGCCCUGGUGACAGGCCAAGGCCCCUCUCCACCGACCCCGCACAAUUCUGGGAGAGGUGACCCGGCCCCGCCGCAGACCUGCUAAAGACGUUUUUGAAACAAGGCCUUUGGCUUUCAACUGCUCCUCCGCCCACCGUGUCUGGAAAGGAACAGUGUUUCCAAAAUAACCACAAAUGAACAGACACGAUUGAGGCCCAGUGAGCAUCAGCCCAGCACCAAGGCCAGGAUGCAGAGCCCAGCACCCGUUUUCCCCUCCGUCCAGGGACCCUGUGCCUCAGGAGGACUGAGUGGGGGUCCUGAGAAGCAGCUUCCCCCGCUCCCACCCCAUCAAGGCUUCAUCAGUGCCAACUGUGCUCCCCACCAGGGAGGUCAUGGCCAGUGUCUGGGAUCACAGACACAGUGACCCUUUGCUGAAGAUCCCACCCCCACCCCCUUAGGCCCCCUGCAGAGCCUGCAGGAAAAGAUGAGAGGGCAACUGGGUACCAUGCUCCCGAGGGGCAUUCCCUUCAUUCUUCAAGGGGUUACUGCUUCCUGUAUCUUUUUUUUCUUUUUUUGGCUGCACUGAAUCUUUGUUGCUGCCAGAGGGCUUUCUCUAGCUGCCAGGAGUGGGGAUUGCUUUUCCUUGGGGAGUACGGGCUCCAGAAUUCUUGGGCUCAGUAGUUGGGGGAGCAGUCUUUGUUACCCUGAGAUGUGUGGAGUCUUCCUGGACCAGGGAUGGAACCCAGGUCCCCUGCACUGGCAGGCGGAUUCUUAAC
ensembl:lncRNA